UACGUAGGGGGCUAGCGUUGUCCGGAAUCAUUGGGCGUAAAGGGCGCGUAGGCGGCUUUAUAAGUCGGGGGUGAAAGCCUGUGGCUCAACCACAGAAUUGCCUUCGAUACUGUAUGGCUUGAGACCGGAAGAGGUUAGUGGAACUGCGAGUGUAGAGGUGAAAUUCGUAGAUAUUCGCAAGAACACCAGUGGCGAAGGCGGCUGACUGGUCCGGUUCUGACGCUGAGGCGCGAAAGCCAGGGGAGCAAACGGG
rnacentral:rRNA from 1 species